UAGAUGUAAAAAUUUAUGCCUUUAAAUAUGUUCGAAGAAUUAAAAAAAAAAAAAAAGACACAUCUCAAAUUCUAUAUCGUAGUGUUGUUGGGAGCUUGAAGUACUCUAUGAUGUGUACUCGCCCAAACAUUUGUUAUACUAUAGGUCUGGUUAGUAGCUAUCAAUUCAAUCCUGGCUCGGGUGAGACAGAGGUGUUUCCGUGAGCUUCAGAUCUUUGAGGAUGCAUGAUCUGAAAAGCAAACAAAUGAGAAUUAGAGGAAAAUUCAGGACCUUAGACUCUACAACUCAAAAAUAGAACAGAAGAAAGAUACUACGCAGAUUAUUUACUAUUUUAUAGUGGAUCUGAUUUAUCAUAAGAGGUUAUGCAAAUGUUGAUUAGAUUGGUGACCGAUAUGAUAGAAAAUCGACCUCUAGUUAUGCUUUAUUACUAAACGGUGGUGCUAUUUCAUGAAAAAGUAAAAAUAAAAAUGCACAACCCUUUCAACCAUGGAAUCUAAAUUCGUGGCUUGUGCAUCCAUAGUACAAAAAAUCUAUUUAGUUGAAAAGAUUCUUUGAGUAUUUGAAUAUUGCAAAGAAUUUUAAGGGUCCGAUGAUUUUAUAUUGUGACAGUCAAGCAGUUAUCGCAUAUAUGCAGGAUCAUAAUUAUCAUAGGAAGAUCAAAAUGUUGAGAUCAAGUAUAACUUUGUGAGAGACAUUGCUGUAGGUGGAGAAAUAAAUAACAAUACAUUCUUACAUGAGAAAUGAUAGUUGAUCCCUUAACAACGAUGACAUCCAGAGACUUGUUUGAGAAAUAUCUUAUGACUCUAAUUUUGUGUAGGAUAUGAUUGCAUUUUUUAAUGUAAAAUAAAUUGAUUGUUAUUACUUUCUCAUCAACGAACACUUUUGUGUUGAAUUUAAGUUUAUAUCUCACAUGCAUGUGAUAAAGUCUGUCAAACAAGUCGCGAGAUUAAAUCUCUCACACAAAUAAUCGCCUCAUAUAUUGAGAACAUAAAGAGAAGAAUUCCACCACCAUGUUAUGACUUGUUUUGUUAGCCAGAUAUGAGUCUCUCUAAGAAGAUGGAUUUGAGGAUCAUUUAAGAGAGAAACUAAAGUUAGAUAUCUAGAUGUGUCUAGACCAAGAUCUAUAUGUUCUUGAAU
rnacentral:lncRNA from 1 species